ACUAACAGGAUUCCCCUAGUAACUGCGAGUGAAGCGGGAAAAGCUCAAAUUUAAAAUCUGGCGGUCUUUGGCCGUCCGAGUUGUAAUCUAGAGAAGUAAUGCCCGUGCUGGACCGUGUAUAAGUCUCCUGGGAUGGGGCGUCAUAGAGGGUGAGAAUCCCGUCUUUGACACGGACUACCAGUGCAUUGUGGUAUGCUCUCAAAGAGUCGAGUUGUUUGGGAAUGCAGCUCAAAAUGGGUGGUAAAUUCCAUCUAAAGCUAAAUAUUGGCGAGAGACCGAUAGCGAACAAGUACCGUGAGGGAAAGAUGAAAAGAACUUUGGAAAGAGAGUUAAACAGUACGUGAAAUUGCUGAAAGGGAAACGCUUGAAGUCAGUCGCGUUGGCCGGGGAUCAGCCUUGCUUUUGCAUGGUGUACUUUCUGGUUGACGGGUCAGCAUCAAUUUUGACCGCUGGAAAAGGGCCUGGGGAAUGUGGCAGCUUCGGCUGUGUUAUAGCCCCUGGUCACAUACAGCGGUUGGGAUUGAGGAACUCAGCACGCCGCAAGGCCGGGUUUCGACCACGUUCGUGCUUAGGAUGCUGGCAUAAUGGCUUUAAGCGACCCGUCUUGAAACACGGACCAAGGAGUCUAACAUGCCUGCGAGUAUUUGGGUGAAAAACCCGAGUGCGCAAUGAAAGUGAAAGUUGAGAUCCCUGUCGUGGGGAGCAUCGACGCCCGGACCAGAACUUUUGGGACGGAUCCGCGGUGGAGCAUGUAUGUUGGGACCCGAAAGAUGGUGAACUAUGCCUGAAUAGGGUGAAGCCAGAGGAAACUCUGGUGGAGGCUCGUAGCGAUUCUGACGUGCAAAUCGAUCGUCAAAUUUGGGUAUAGGGGCGAAAGACUAAUCG
rnacentral:rRNA from 1 species